AUUGAACGCUGGCGGCAGGCCUAACACAUGCAAGUCGAACGAGUGGCGGACGGGUGAGUAAUGGCUGGGAAACUGCCUGAUGGAGGGGGAUAACUACUGGAAACGGUAGCUAAUACCGCAUACCAUCAGAUGUGCCCAGAUGGGAGUAGCUUGUUGGUGGGGUAACGGCUCACCAAGGCGACGAUCCCUAGCUGGUCUGAGAGGGUGACCGGCCACACUGGAACUGAGACACGGCCCAGACUCCUACGGGAGGCAGCAGUGGGGAAUAUUGGACAAUGGGCGAAAGCCUGAUACAGCCAUGCCGCGUGUAUGAAGAAGGCCUUCGGGUUGUAAAGUACUUUCAGUAGGGAGGCGUUACCCACAGAAGAAGCCCCGGCUAACUCCGUGCCAGCCGCCGCGGUAAUUC
rnacentral:rRNA from 1 species